rnacentral:siRNA from 1 species
AGUCAUUGAUCUUCUGCUGUCUA